CCUACGGGUGGCAGCAGUGGGGAAUAUUGGACAAUGGGCGAUAGCCUGAUCCAGCCAUGCCGCGUGUGUGAAGAAGGCCUUCGGGUUGUAAAGCACUUUCAGUGGGGAAGAAAGCCUUGGGGCUAAUACCCUCGAGGAAGGACAUCACCCACAGAAGAAGCACCGGCUAACUCCGUGCCAGCAGCCGCGGUAAUACGGAGGGUGCGAGCGUUAAUCGGAAUUACUGGGCGUAAAGCGCGCGUAGGCGGUCUGAUAAGCCGGUUGUGAAAGCCCCGGGCUCAACCUGGGAACGGCAUCCGGAACUGUCAGGCUAGAGUGCAGGAGAGGAAGGUAGAAUUCCCGGUGUAGCGGUGAAAUGCGUAGAGAUCGGGAGGAAUACCAGUGGCGAAGGCGGCCUUCUGGACUGACACUGACGCUGAGGUGCGAAAGCGUGGGUAGCAAACAGGAUUAGAUACCCUGGUAGUC
rnacentral:rRNA from 1 species